rfam:Ovis aries breed Texel chromosome 1, whole genome shotgun sequence.
UCCCUGGUGGCUCAGAGGUUAAAGCGUCUGCCUGCAAUGCGGGAGACCUGGGUUCGAUCCCUGGAUCGGGAA